rnacentral:tRNA from 1 species
GGUGGCUCAGUGGUAGAGCGCUUGCCUGGCAUGCAUGAAGCCCUGGGUUAGAUUCCUUGACACCA